CUUGCUGAGGUCAGAAGUUGUAUUUGCUUUUCGAGAAAUGCCUCAGCGCUGCGGUCUCCUUCAUCCAAAAGCAACAACCUCGUGUUUCUUGGGGAGGAGAAGGGAAGGGAAGACAAUUGCAGGCUGAAACUGGUGUGGAAUAGCUGCUUAAACACAGCCCCCUGCACUUGCAAACCUCCUGAUCACGGCUGGGUAAGGCAGAGCUGCCAAGUCCCGCUGUCACAGGGCAGCAGGGCUGCUCAGCAAUGGUUUCAUGCCAACCGAUGACAGCAGCCAAAGAACCGGGGGUUUCUGACGUUACGGCUAGAUGCUUAACCAGAAGAAGCUGCUCACCCAGGAAGCCCAAUGCUCUGGAGAUGGAUCCUGGGCUCAAAGUCUGAUCCACAGCCUGGGUCCUAAUUGCCCCAAGUGAAGAAGGGAGAGGCUGGAGGCUCGAAAAGCAGCUUAAAAGCUGUCAGGUGUAGCCCUGGAGGAUGAACCCACACGAGAGGCCUGGGGAAGCACAGAUGUGCUUUGGGUCAAACUGCAAAGAAAUGUGGGUGUCUCCAACUGGGAAAGCUCAGAACAGGUUUUGGCAUCUGACAUGGAUCCAUCUGGACUUGCUGAUGGAUGGUAGGGACCUGGGGGGGUCAAAAGAGCAUGCUGAAGACAAAACGUGCACCAACAGCUGUCAGGCAUCGCUGUUAAUGAAGAAGAGAAGCAAAGAUUGUAUCUGUAUAGCACAAAGAACCAGCUUAUCUUGACUAGUAAGGCCACAG